CUAAGUUCCUUGGAACAGGACGUCAUAGAGGGUGAGAAUCCCGUACGUGACCGGGGGGUCAUCUCCAUGUGAGGCUCCUUCGACGAGUCGAGUUGUUUGGGAAUGCAGCUCUAAAUGGGUGGUAAAUUUCAUCUAAAGCUAAAUACCGGCCAGAGACCGAUAGCGCACAAGUAGAGUGAUCGAAAGAUGAAAAGCACUUUGGAAAGAGAGUUAAAAAGUACGUGAAAUUGUUGAAAGGGAAGCGCUUGCAACCAGACUUGCCCGCGGGGGAUCAGCCGUCUUUCGAGGCGGUGCACUCUCCCGCGAUCAGGCCAGUAUCGGUUUUGGCAGUCGGAUAAAGGCUCCGGGAACGUAGCUCCCCUCGGGGAGUGUUAUAGCCCGGGGCGUAAUGCGAUUCGCUGGGACCGAGGACCGCGCUUCGGCUAGGAUACUGGCGUAAUGGUUGUAAGCGACCCGUCUUGAAACACGGACCAAGGAGUCUAACAUCUAUGCGAGUGUUUGGGUGUCAAACCCAUACGCGCAAUGAAAGUGAACGGAGGUGGGAACCUUCGGGGGCACCAUCGACCGAUCCUGAUGUCUUCGGAUGGAUUUGAGUACGAGCAUAGCUGUUGGGACCCGAAAGAUGGUGAACUAUGCCUGAAUAGGGUGAAGCCAGAGGAAACUCUGGUGGAGGCUCGCAGCGGUUCUGACGUGCAAAUCGAUCGUCAAAUUUGGGUAUAGGG
rnacentral:rRNA from 1 species